rnacentral:rRNA from 1 species
UACGUAGGGUGCAAGCGUUGUCCGGAAUUAUUGGGCGUAAAGAGCUCGUAGGCGGUUUGUCGCGUCUGCUGUGAAAACUCGGGGCUUAACCCCGGGCCUGCAGUGGGUACGGGCAGACUAGAGGUAGGCAGGGGAGAGCGGAACUCCUGGUGUAGCGGUGGAAUGCGCAGAUAUCAGGAAGAACACCGGUGGCGAAGGCGGCUCUCUGGGCCUUACCUGACGCUGAGGAGCGAAAGCGUGGGGAGCGAACAGG